rnacentral:rRNA from 1 species
UAGGGAAUCUUGCGCAAUGGGCGAAAGCCUGACGCAGCGACGCCGCGUGGGGGAAGAAGGCCUUCGGGUCGUAAACCCCUGUCGGAGGGGAAGAAGGACGUGACGGUACCCUCCAAGGAAGCCCCGGCUAACUACGUGCCAGCAGCCGCGGUAAUACGUAGGGGGCGAGCGUUGUCCGGAAUCACUGGGCGUAAAGGGAGUGUAGGCGGCCGCUUAAGUCCUGUGUGAAAGGCCCCCGGCUUAACCGGGGAGGGUCAUGGGAAACUGGGCGGCUUGAGUGCCGGAGAGGGGCAUGGAAUUCCGCGUGUAGCAGUGAAAUGCGUAGAUAUGCGGAGGAACACCGAUGGCGAAGGCAAUCCCCUGGGCCUGCACUGACGCUCAUGCACGAAAGCGUGGGGAGCAAACAGGAUUAGAUACCC